AUUACGCCCUGCCCUUUGUACACACCGCCCGUCGCUACUACCGAUUGAAUGGCUUAGUGAGACCUUUGGAUUGGGGUUUUGGGAUCGGCAACGAUCCUAUUUCUCCGAGAAGUCGGUCAAACUUGGUCAUUUAGAGGAAGUAAAAGUCGUAACAAGGUUUCCGUAGGUGAACCUGCGGAAGGAUCAUUAA
rnacentral:rRNA from 1 species